rnacentral:lncRNA from 1 species
ACAAGAGGGCCGGAACCGGCAGCAGUCGCUGAAGCUCGGUGCGGCGCGGGUCCGGGUGAGGGCGUGGGGGCGGACGCGACUUUGCCAGCGCCCAUUGUCGACUGCCUCUUCCUUGGUCGUGAGGGAUGAGUGCAGGAUAGGGCCGCCGCAGCUAGAUCCGGUGCGACGCUGGUCAUCGAUGAGGUGCAGCGCGGGCCGCAGGUGGCACACGCGUUGGCCAUUGGCUGUCGGAUCUCGCGCGCGGGCGGCCGGAGGCCUAGCUUGCGGUAGCGGCGCUCCAUAGCUUGGGGGCCCGCACAACGUUGGUGCGGUGUAUGGCAAUGGCACCCAUCCAUGGGGUGUGGCAGCGGCGAGCAUGGGUCACGGCAACACCUAUCCAAGUUGGGAGGCGCACUGGGGGUAGGGGCGCACGGCGCUGCUCUGCGGCGUGGGCCGCUUGCGAUCGACGCGACGCGGGACUGCGGUCUGUUGGAAAUAUUCAAAGGUGAUCAAAAAGGCUGAGAAAAAGAAGGGGAUAAGGAAAACACCCUAGGACUCUCUGACUCGCAACCUCCACCCCGC